rnacentral:sRNA from 1 species
UAGUUCACUCACGACCUUUAGGUGCAU